rnacentral:rRNA from 1 species
AGGACGAACGGCUGGCGGCGUGCUUAACACAUGCAAGUCGAACGGGAGUAUUGAAGAAGCUUGCUUUAGAGAUACUUUAGUGGCGGACGGGUGAGUAACGCGUGAGGAGCUGUCCUAUGCAGGGGGACAACAGCUGGAAACGGCUGCUAAUACCCCAUAAGCCGAGAGGUAAAAGGGAUCAAUCCGGCAGAGGAGGUACUCGCGUCCUAUCAGCUAGUAGGUGAGGUAACGGCUCACCUAGGCGAAGACGGGUAGCCGGCCUGAGAGGGCGAACGGCCACACUGGAACUGAGAUACGGUCCAGACUCCUACGGGAGGCAGCAGUGGGGAAUAUUGGGCAAUGGGGGAAACCCUGACCCAGCGACGCCGCGUGGGUGAAGAAAUCCUUCGGGAUGUAAAGCCCUGUUGUAUGGGAAGAGCGGAAGACGGUACCAUACGAGGAAGCCCCGGCAAACUACGUG